rnacentral:lncRNA from 1 species
AAGUAUAAAGUUAACUCUUCUUCUACAAUUAGUAAUUAAUUUUAAGAACCAAUCUUUAACUCUUUUUCAGUUUCAUCAUUCAGAUUUUAUUAAUACUUCUUUUUGCGAGUUUUGUUUCUUCUUGGGACUCUUUUUUUUCAUCAAGAUGUCAAAAUUCUAUGAAAGAGAUUUCAACCAGAUGAUUAUUUCCGGCUCGAUUUUGAACGUUGUUGGUCAAGAUGAUAAUUUGCACUUCUUUUUGAACCCUUUAUGUUGGAGUUUCACAUAGGUGGGUUAAAGGGUCCUUGGUCUUAUUAUAUGGUCUUGGGCAAUCCUCCCCUCAUGAGCUAGCUUUUGAGGUUGAGUUACGCCUAAGAUCCAUUUCUUUAUCAUGGUAUCAGAGUCAGGCCAACCCAGUUCAUUGUUUUCAAUGUUGGCCCCCUUCUUAUAUUGUCCACACUCCAAAUGUCCAUCCCUAGACGUACAGGGGAUGUUGGAGCCCCACAUCAGUGGGUUAAAGGGUCAUUGGUUUCCUUAUAUGGUCUUGGAUAAUCCUCCCGACAUAAGCUAGCUUUUGAGGUUAAGUUAGGCCCAAGGUCCAUUUCUUUAUGACUUUCAUCUCUUUUUCUCCUUUGCAAAAUGUUUUCCAUAUUUUUUUGUUUGCUUCUUGCUUCGUUAAUUUUCUAUUUAUUUGCAAAUAUUUAUGUCCAGAUUUUAUUGUAAAUUAAACAUAAUUUUUUAUUAUUCACGCUCAUAAUUGAUUUAUCUUCACAAAUCUCGAUUUUCUCUCAACGUCUCAUGAAUUUCUUCUCUUCCUACUUCAUAUUAAAUAUUUAGUUAUUAUCACUAGAAUCAUGUUCAUGUGGAAUCCUUACUAUUGGUAUUUAAUAUUUUCUUUUAUUUGCAGAGUAAUCAACUUAUCGCGAAAAUCAAUAUAUCCUGACAAAUUUUACAACAUGUAAAAGAUAUUAUAAAAUAACGUGUAAAAUUAUUAAUUUUUCACAGUAUAUUAUAAUUACGUAUUUUCACUCACUUUAUUUGUAAGAUAAUACACAUUUUCAUCUUUUAUUCCGCAUGGGAAGAUGAUUAUGUAUAUUUGAUCUCUUUAAUUCUUAUCUUAUUAAGUUUUUUCUUAAGUAAAAUAAACUUAUAGUAUUAAUAAGUUAAUUUAUUUUUGUUACAUUCCCUUUGUAUUUAUGACUACAUUUGAAGAUGAUGAGAUUGAUGACUUGAAUAGACUACACGAAUAUACAUUCAAACUUGCAUGCGAUGUUGGAUUAUAGAUUAAAAUAAUUUUAAAGAAAAUAACACCUUUUAAAUUUCAAUACGUUAUAUCUCUACAACUUUUGUUAAGUUAAAGCAAGUCUUCUAAUGAAAAAUAUAUAUUAGUCCUAAAUAUUGCUUGAUGUCGAAAUAUAAAUAACUUUUUCAGGCAUAUGAAAAUUAAAAUUUUGAUUUACUAAUUAAGAUAAAUCAUAUUUACUGAUCAUAUUUAGUAAUGCAAGAAAAUAAGAAUCAUCCUAAAAAUGUGUGUUAGUAAAUUUAUUUCUUAAUUGUUUAAAUUAUACCAUAUUGAUCUACUUAUCCUAUAACUAUUUUUUUUUUUAUUUUGAGAUAAGAGCGCAUGCAUCAUUUACUUAUAUCUUGCAUGGAGAUUUUAUUACCUCAAGAACCAAUGAGUUUAUUAGAUGUACAUACAUAUUCUUAAAUUAAUGGUACGAUAUGAAACCUUUUCUUUCUUUUUUUAUGAUUUUUUUUUUAAAAAAAAAACUAUGAAAAGUCCUUGAUGGAGAAAGAAAAGUUAGAUUUGUUUUAUAUUUGGAAAAUGAAUGUUUUUGCAUGUUAAUUUCAUUUGUGCAAUCCUAAGUACAUGAACAUGGGCUGGUCCUACAGGACUCUUCACAAAUUCUACUUAAGAUAUUUUUUUCAAAACUUUUUGUUGCUUCCAAAUUUAAUUACUCUUUAUAUAUAUUUAUUAUACAUGUCUUUUGAUUCCGUACUUAAUUUGAAUGCAAAGAUAUAAUUUAUUUGCUAUUUAGAUUUGAUUUCAAAUGCUUAUGAUUAUGCUUAUGUUGGUUUCAUGUCUCUUUAGUAAUUUUAAUUUUGUAUGAAGGAAUAUUUUCAAUAUGUAUGGUGAUGAAGAUGAUUGUAGAUAUUAAUCUUAUUGUGAUGAUAUAUUAAGAAAAAAAUGGACUAUUGUUGCUACAAAUUUUUAACUUAACCAUGAUCUAAUACUUUUUUUUGGUUAAAUGGAUGCAUAAUAAUUAAUAAUUAAGUUGAGUUAAUAUAUGAAGUGGAUAAAACAUCGUUUCCUUAGUACAGUUUUGAAGGGAAGGGUUAAUGUUAACAAAAUUUAAUACACUAUCAGUUGUAACUCUUCGUGGGAAUUCUUCUACAUGUUUGUCUGCUGCAAGAAAUUGUGCUGCAUACAAGGGUGGAUGAGGUAAGAUUUGCAACUGAUCAAAAUAAGCACCUUUUGUGGUAUCACUUCCUGCUAGCGCAUCUGGAACACUGUUUUUUUCUCUAAAUGUGUGCUUGAGGGUUGGAUUCCCUAAUUUCUAUAGUAAGUACCUAUAUUCCAAUAUGAUAUUAGAAUACCCAAGGUGGUCAGUGAGAAUCAUAUUAAUUGCAGCAGACGAGUCAGAGUUAACUUCAAGCGAAUACAAGUGCCUUUCCAGGACAAUCCUGAGACCUUGUAGGAUGGCAAGGAGCUCCGUUUGUUGAACAUUAACAUGGGUAAAGAUGGGGAAAGGUGUUGGUAUAGCCCAGGAUCCAGUCUCCCUUAUGGUCCUUAAAAACACCCCCAAUCUUGCCCGAUUCAGGUUGAUUUUUUACACCGACAUCAGUAUUAAGUUUAUAGGUACCUUGUAGAGGUGGUUUCCAUUUUAACUACACAACAGUGGUAGGGUUUGCUCGUUUAUUUCUUUCAUUAGUGAGCAUAACAAAUUCGGUUGCAAGAGCAACAGUUCUCUACACUGAGAUGGGGUUAUCUUUGUGGUUAAAAAGAUUAUCAUUCCUACAUAACCAAAUAUUCCACAAGCAGAAGGGAAGGAUGGAAUCCCAAUUGAACCAAUUAUUGAAGAGUUUAUUGUCAAUGGCUUUUCAGGUGUUAGUCCAUUUAGAAGAUUUGAGGGAGCGUGAAUCAAAACUGGCAAUAGAAAGGCUAUAGCUGGCCAUGCUGCUCCAGAAGGCAAUAGCCUUGGGACAUUGGAAGAAAGUGUGGGUGAUGUCUUCCUCAAUAUUAGGGCAAUACUUGCAGUGAGGGAAGACAGACAUGCCUAAGUGAUUGAGGUAACUACCAGUAGGCAGUCUCUUGUGGAGCAUGAGCCAAAGAAGGUCUUGAGCUUGUUGGGGGAAUUAACUUGCCAGACCGAGAGAAAGUCACUAUUAUAGUCAGCUUCAGUUGGACUAUCUCUUUCUUGAAGAGUCUUAUAGGCACUAGCAAUGGAGAACUUACAUCAGCAGUGGAGUCUCGGAUAAGCUUAUCUUCAAGCACUACUUGAGAGGGGAAGUAGGUACUCUUGAUAGUGCUUUGGAGAUGGUGAGGGAGGUCUAGAUUCCAAGUUCCCCUAUUAUGAAGAUGACUGACAGUGAGCCUAUAUUCACCCUUAUUCAGGGGGGCCUGAAUGUUGCUUCUGAUGGAACUAUGGUUGGGGAUCCAUUUGUCCCCAAAAAAUCUAACUCUACUACCUUUAUGGAUAACCCACCUCUGGUUUUGGAGACAGAUAUCCCAUCCCUCCUUGAUACAUUUCCAAGUUCUUGAGCAAAUCCUUUUAUUAGGUUCAGUCUAGUACUGGGUGCAGUAUUUGUUAUAAAGGAGUUUUGUCCAGGGGGAUUGAGUGUUAUGGUACAUCCUCCAAGAAAGACUGGCAUGGGCAGCUUUGUUUCUAAGUUCACUUCUUUGAAUACCCAGCCCUAUCAUAGCUUUGAUAGAGGUGAUUUUAUCCCAGCUAAGGAGAUGGAGCCUUUUUUUUGUCAGAAAUGGUACCCCAGAUGAAAUUUCUCUGGAUCUUAUUGAUAAUGUAGUGAAUCUUUUGAGACAGCUUAAUGUACUGCAUGACAUAAGAUGGGAUGCUAGACAGGGUAGAAUUAGUGAGGAUAAGCCUACCAUCCAUGCAUAGCAUCUUGAUUUUCCAGUCAGAGAGUCUGUUUUCCAUAUUAUCAAUGAUGAAUUGAAAGUCCCUAUUAGUGGGCUUGGAGUGAAAAAUUGGAAAACCCAGGUAUUUCCCAAAGGAAUUAGCACUGUUAAUGGUGAGAGAGUUAGAACAGUUAGUGAUAGUUGAAGGAGUGCAGUAAGCUAAGAAGAAAACUCUUGACUUAGCAGCGUUGAUUCUUUGCCCAGAUUUGUCACAAAAAACAUUAAGGGUUUUCUGAAUGGUUUGGCAAGCCUUAGUAGUUGCUUGAGAGAAGAGAGUUAGGUCAUCUGGAAAGAAUAUCUACUAACACAACAUUUAAUGAUUCCUCUCAAACUUGGUAUUACUGCAUAUUUAUUAAAAAAAAAAAUAUUACGAUCUUUCAAUUUAUUUUAAAAAAACAAAAUAAAUAACAAACGAACGAGAAAGAAUAGCAUAAGGAAUAAUUAUAUUUUUAUUCUAUAAAAUAAAAUAAUAAUAUAUAAUUUUUGCCUCAACUUUUGAUCCAAAGAGACGCUAGAGAGAUUCUAUUUUUUUCUUUUUCACUAUAAAAUAGGAAAGUAGCUCAAUACUUUUAUUUUACCUUUUUUUUCAUUAAUUAUGUUGUAUUCUAAUUUUUCAAAUUGCAAAAAAGAUAAGACAAAGUAAUGAAUAUUAAUAGUUUGUUUGGCUAGAUUUUUAAAAUUAAUUUAUUUUAAAAAAUAUUUUUUUUAGAAAACACCGUGCAACAACUAUUUUUUGACCAAACUUCUUAAAGUGUUUUUAAGUGUAUUUUUAAAAAAAAAAAAUCUUAAAUAAAUGCUUUUAGGAAUAAAUCAUUUUUUUAGCUUAUGAAAAGUUGUUUUUCCUACUUUGCAAAAACACUUAUUUUCUUUCAAAAAUUUGACCAAACACCUCAUUUUUCUUAAAAAAGAAAUACUUUUAGAAAAAUAUAAACUUGGUCAAAUAGGCUAUAGAUCAAGUGAAAUUUAAUAAAAAAUCAUUAAAAACAUAUAAUAAUACUAAAUUGUGUAUAUUUUGAUAUAGCAAAAUAAGAAAUAAGUAAUGUCGAGUCAGAUAGGAUGUAAGAUUGAGCACACAAUAAUCUUAAAGAGUGUAUUUCACUUUGAAAAAAAUUACAAAUAAAAAAACAUGAAAAUUUUAUAUUUUUCACAUUCAAUUUGUUACUUGAAAUCGUAAAAAUGAAAAGAAAUGGAUAAUUCUACUAAUAUAUUAUCAAAAUGAGAAGGCAAUUGGCAAUUCUUUUAAUAUACUCAUCAUUUUGUAAGUUUAUUUAUAUAUUAUAGUUUUUCGUAUAUGUAUACACUAAUUAGGUAAACAACUACUACUGUAACAAAAAAUUUUGAUUUGUGGGUAAACAAGAUGAAACAUUUUAGCGUAAGUGAUAUAUAAAUAAACUUUUCGAAUGAUAAGAAAAAAUCAAUUAUAACAAGAUUCUUAUGUCUUUACUAUUUUUAUGCAUAGUAUUUUCUAUUUAGUUUCAGUAUCAUUUUCACUUAGUUAUAUUGUGAUAUUCUAUCAUGCUCCUGGAAUAUAAAAAAGAAAUCCUAUUUAAAUAAAUGAACAGUAAUAAAACAAUACCAACAUAGAUACAAUACUAGAUGUUACUCAUAGAAUCAAAAAAUUGAAAAUAAUAUCUCAAAUAUGGUACAAAUGGUUAAAAUAAAUAUAUUUCUAUUAUCUCUCUGCGCUCUUUUUGUUUUAAAAGAUAAUCCGCGCAUUGCGCGGGAUGAAUACUAGUGUCUACAAAUGUCCGCUUGGCCAUGAAGUUUAAUCAUCAAAUUUUAAAAAUCUGGUUUCAAAUAUUUCCAAAUCUGAGUCAAUUUUUGAGAUUCUGAAUUUCUCUCACAAAACUUCAAAUUUUUUUCAACUAAAAUCCACGUCCAAACACAAAUCAAACUUCAAAAACUUUGUUUCAAUUUCAAAAUAUUGCCAACUGGUAGACUUAAAACACACGCUGGCAUGUAGGUCGAAUCCUGAAGCAAUGCACUUUCCCUCAUAGUGUGGUGCCGGUGUCAGGUAUUGGGGCUUGAGCGCUUGGCAAAACUUCUCAAUAUAUUUCAAUUCUCAAACAAUACACUCCACAUGUUGACCAC